UGUGUGUGCAGUAAUCUGUGGGAAACGAGCAAUAUUGGCAUGUUUUAUAGACUAAUUUAAUGUAUUUGACUACAGUAUUAUGUACAUAUUUUAAAUGUUCGCUGUAUCUGGAUGAAUAUGGUGUGAGAAAUCCCCGCUCAGCUUCAGGUUUACCAGGUGGAUGAGGCAGAGAGCUUGAAAAGGUAGAAUGCAAAGGAAUCUAUAAUCUCAUGUAUGUGGAUGUAUACGGUAAUCUGUGAAACUCUCCAGGACUCCUCACAGCUAGCAGUGAGACGUGAGGGCUGUGAGGUGUGAAGGCCUUUCCUAUGUUAAUGACUAGCAGGAAGAGGCGCUGUCCUUCUUCUCAUAGCCGGGUGGGGGGAUUAGCCAUGGGCAUUGCGGUAAAUGUAACAACAAUGUAGGUGUUCAGCAUAGACACCAGAUAGAUAAAAGUUUGUCACGUCCGAAUUAGACAAUGUUGUUUACAAAUGUAUGUAUUAAAGCGGUUUUAAUUCAACGCUACAGAAAGCUGUAAGGAGCCUCCAGAAUUCAGAAAACAACCCACAUAAAUACGAUCCACAAACUGGAAUAAGUUUACUUCAUGAUCAGGCAGUGAUGAUCCACUGGAGGAAUUAAAGAUGACUUUUACAGAUGCAGACCCUGAGUGUAUAAAGGGAAAUACUCGGCCAGGAAAGUCUCAGCUAAGAGGCUCCAUUAAGACAGGGGCUAAAAACUGACAAAGAUGAUUGCUGGAGUCCAUGUGUAGAGUCGUUCAAACAGAUGCAGAGAGAGAACUGUGGCAGACUGCAAUGCUGGAUGUGUAUGAUGAGAACUGAUGUCCGAUGAGGAGGAUGCCACUGCGUGCCGUGCCGUCAGCGUGUAAUAUCUAAUGGGACCGAGCUAGAAGGACAUUUAUUUUGGACAUCUAACAA